UUUGUUAGUUCUAAAAAUACUAGUGAAUAAGGGGUGGGCAAGUUCUGGUGUCAGCCGCCGCGGUAAAACCAGCACCUCAAGUGGUCAGGAGGAUUAUUGGGCCUAAAGCAUCCGUAGCCUGUUCUAUAAGUUUGCGGUUAAAUCUAUGCGCUCAACGUAUAGGCUGCUGUAAAUACUGUAGAACUAGGGACUGGGAGAGGUAGACGGUACUCAGUAGGAAGGGGUAAAAUCCUUUGAUCUAUUGAUGACCACCUGUGGCGAAGGCGGUCUACCAGAACACGUUCGACGGUGAGGGAUGAAAGCUGGGGGAGCAAACCGGAUUAGAUACCCGGGUAGUCCCAGCUGUAAACGAUGCAGACUCGAUGAUGCAAUGGCAUAGAGCUAUUGCAGUAUCGCAGGGAAGCCGUUAAGUCUGCCGCCUGGGAAGUACGUACGCAAGUAUGAAACUUAAAGGAA
rnacentral:rRNA from 1 species